rnacentral:lncRNA from 1 species
UGAGUACCUGGAGUACAGAAAGAAUCGAACUGGAAUACAGCCUGAGCCUGUCCAGAAGAUUGGAGUUCAUUUAAAUCAGCUGAGGUGUGGCAGUUGGGUCUUGUGACUAGCACUUCCUGCCUGCCUGGGGGGUCUUGCUUCCUGGUGUUGGAGGAGAGAGGAACUUGGUCAGCCCAGUCUGGAGUGGCAUGCUCUUCUUGGUUCAACCUGAAGACACAGGCUUCUGAAGGGCUAACUUGACAAGAUACCUUUCAGCUCUUACUUGAAAACCUCUGAGGUUUAAGGUGAGGAGAAAACCCCUACAUCUUGAGUUAAUCCAUGCUACUUUUGGAUAAUGUCUCAUUCUGCCUCUUUGUGUCUUCUAGAUGACUGUAAACUAGAUUAUGG